CCGGGGUGGCGGCCGGAGGGCCGGCGGUGGCGCGGCGGCCGGAGGUGUAGAUAGACCUCAAUGCAAUUUGCUUGAGUGUCUGCUUUUAAUGUUCUCACAUCUGGGCAUUUGAAGCUGAUGAAAUGCAGCACACAUCAACAGAAUCCAUGAAUUUUUAAGCAAGCAGACAAGCAUUUGAUCCAAAAGAUGUUGCUCUAAGAGUCAGUGAACUCUAGUUUUGGCAGAAUUGCAUGACUUCUGCAACCAAGAAUGCUGUGCUGAACAUGCUGAACUGAGUCCCCAGAAGAGCCUACCAGGAAUGGGUUUGGCCAAAGGUGGCUUUUGACACAACCAGACAUUUUUAGUGAAGGAGCCAUAAGACAGAGAAGCCUGGAAAGACUAAAGCUGCAAGAACAGGAGCACGUUCGAAAAAMGGGGAAAAAAGAGAGGGGGUUGAAAGAAAAAGACGUGGUGAUGAAAAGAAGUUCAAGAGAGGAAAAGGAAAGCUAAGCUCGAGAGGAGAGAAGAGAGGCAGAUAGAUGGAGAUGAGAAACAUCCCCCAAAGCAGCAGAAGGUACCAGCUGAAGAACAGCAGUGGCCAGAGAAUAUGCCUGAAUGGGAAGAAAGGAAAUCCCUGCUAGCUCAGAGAAGAGUGGAGUCUGUCAGACUGCUUACAGUGCUGUUAAAUCGUGUGAAAUUGGCAAAUCAAAAAGUGGAUCUUUCACUGGGCGUAAGGAAGGACGAUUCAUUUUCUGAAACAGCAUUUAAAGACUUACAGCAGGAGCUGAUUAAUUCCCUUUAUUGUACGCACAAAGAGUUGAAACAUAAGGAGGAAUUUAAGUGCCCAAAGUUAACCCAAAAAUUUAGUGAUUUAUGUAGUGAGGCAGGAGAUGUGAGUCAUUUCUGUGCAUCCACUUGUCAUAUAGUCAGGACAGUUGUGAAUGAUCCCUGUCCAGCCCCGAGCUGUGAUGGACUGGCUGGCAGAGAUGUGAGCAGCUCCUCUGGCUGCGGGCCUUUGCUGAUCACGGUCACCCAGGAUGGCAGGGUCAUUGAAGCUCUCCAUGGAAGGCACCACCCUGCGCUGGAUGGAGAUCACACACAGACAGUGCCUGAGGAAGAUGAUUGUAAAAAGCAAAAGGUUUAUGAGACUGAUGAAUUCAUCCAUUAUUUACUAAACUACUAUCAGACACCACACUAUGCACGUGUUUGCUUAGAGCCAAAAGCCACUGUGAACAAGUCCUGGUGGAAGCGAGUGGUGUCUGAGGAUGGUCGUGGGUUUGACGUCAGCUUGAGUAACAAACAUGGUCAGCACUUGAGAGAAGUGAGUUCUAUACAAAACCUCCACAACAGAAAUUGUAGUAGUGAUGGUAAUUAUAGACUGGUGAUCACUCUUGGGGAACUUCAGUCAACAGACAAAGUGUUAGAAAGCAAGGUCCAUGGGGGCAAGCUUGCAAAAAAGCUGCAAGUGCAGAGGAAUGACUCACUCACUGUUGAUAACUUACCACAUGCUGGACUGAAUCAUUCUUUGGAGUGCACUGCUGUUACUCAUGAUAAGGAAUUCAAACGAGAAGAUGGUAGAGAUGAAGGCACUGUACCAUAUGGAACAUCUAGAUCUGCUCACAGAUUAAAGGAUUUGUUGGAAGAGAUCAGUGAUUCUGAGUACUUUAGAGAGACAUGUGGCAGCUCAGUGAAGAGAGCAGAAAGAAAGUAUGAAGACAUUCACAGCAGUUGUAAUAAAGGGUGCUUGCCUGCAASAGCCAGGGAAAGAAGUUUACUGUUUUACCAUAAAAAUGCAGCUCUGGAAGGUCAAGAGAAGGAAGUCAGCAAAUGUAACUCCUGUUCUAGCUCUGUCCAUGAGGACUUGGCAGGGCAGUACAAAUGUAAGCUUAAAAAGUCAUGCAAGAGGUCUAGUAGUAAAUUAAGAUAUGAAGGACAGAAAACUGAAAGACAAUCCAGGGAAAAGGAGAGAAAUGCUCAUAAAGUGAAGAAAAAGCGAAAAAAGCUUUCUUCUGAUCUUUUGUCUGAUGAAUGCGGCUUUUCAGAGACGGACAGUUGCAUGCAGCUGGAGUCUCUCAGAAAGAUACAGAGAAAAUGUAAGAAAAUGUUGCACAAAAAAGUGAAAUUCAAGACCCUUCACACCUCUAUGGCAGCACCAGAUGUUACCCCACAUGAUGGCUCACCUCUUCAGGAGACCCUUCAGAGCAGAGGAGAUGAGAGGAAAUUAAUGUUGAGAAGAGAGAUGGAUGCAGAUGUCAGAGGAUGCCCUCUAUUUCCUCUUGAGAUAAUUCAGACAAAUCCCUGCUCAGAUACUUUCUGUGGAGCAGAGCCCAGAAGAGGAUGCUGAACAACUACUGUAUAAUAGCUCUGAAGUUUUUACACAGAAGUGGGAGAAGAAAGCCCUUUGAUCAUUAAAAGAUUAAAGAUGACAAAACUUCCCCCUCUGUCAAUCUAUAGACAGUUCUGUGUCCAUGAGUAGCCCYUUCCCAUGAGACAGGCCUUUCGAUGACAGGUGAGGAAGUAUUUCUUUUUGUUAAUCUGGGGGAGAAGGAAUUGAAGAUUUCCUUCUCUGGUGUAAAUUUCCAGUGUUUUAUCCACAUGCUGUCACAAUGACCAAUAACAAAUAAAUACUCMAUUUCUGUAAUUGCUUCGUGCGUUCACCUAUAUUGAUUGAAAUUGAUAGAGGGUUUGCUUUAUCUCCAAGUCCUCAUUCCAUGUAAAACAUUGGUAGUAAAUAAAAUAUGCAUGCACUUUAAAAUGUGAGACAUCAUUGUAAUCUUCAUACCGAGAGAGAACUUUUGUGUUUCCUGUUUGACAUUAUUUAGAACCUGAUUUCAGGUGUUUCAAUAUUAAUGCUUUACUUUUCAUGAAAUGAUAGAAUGGAUUGGAACCUUCAAGACUGUCUUGUUCCCACCCCUAUGCCAAGGGUAGGGGCACCUUCCACCUACUCCAAGCACUGUCCAGCCAGGUCUUGAACACUUCCAGGGAUGGGGCAUCCACAGUUUCUUUUUUGCCAGCACCUUACCACACUCACGAAUUYCUUUUUCCUGUCAGCACAUUUGAGUCCCAUCCUUCCAUACACUGGGCUGCUCAGUAUAAUUUUAUGAUCCUGAAGGCUGAGCUUUAAAGAUACAUGUAAGAGCUUCCUUUAAAACUUAAAAUGCAUGGCUUUGUAGAUUGGAUUGUAGUAGUUAUAAAUGUCACAUCCCAAGAAUGAAGGUUACAGAAUGUUUUAGCAAUUAGUACAUUUAUUAGGUGAAAAGAUGCAUUUAAAGCAGCAUUGAUGUAGUUCAGCAAUGGAAAUGUAGAAYAUUGCUGGCAUAAUUUCACACCUUUCAGUUUGAACCUGCUAUGUGCYUUUGUGCCCAGCUGGUGUUUCAAGAGGCUGAGUGUUUUUUAUGGAAACACUGUUUACUCUGACAUGUAUGCAGUUGGGCCCCAGGACUGCAGAUCUUGCCAUCAAAUCUAACUUUCUGUGCAGAAAUAGUGAACGUCUCGUCAUAGAGCUGGUAGGAGCAGAAGUUGGCUGAACAAGGCUUUGUUGCUGAAAAUAUGURACCUGUGGGUUGUACCUUGUGCUGAAUGCUGAAGUCCAAAUCCUACAGGCUGGUUUUGAAGCAGGAAUACACAAUGCCCAUUAUUAAAUCAGUCCAUCUGCUUGAAAUACAAUACAGCAGUUAUGAUAUAAUGCCCUUUCAUUUUAAUCCAGGGAUUCCAGGCAAUGCAUAGAAAUGCCUCACCUUUUGUAAAACCCCUUAUGUAACUCCACAGAAGCAUUMAUUACUGAACUUUUUUUUGUUUAACUGAAACAGCAGGAAGUAAGAGAUAAUAAAGGGCAGGUGAGGUCCAGAUGAAAGAAUAGCUGAAUUUUACAAAGCAGUUGACAGUAUGAMWGACGUGGUUGRAAAUGAGAUGCAACCCAAUUGUUUUGAUUUGUCYUAGARUAUAUCUCUAUCAGUGUACCUUGUGACASGUGUUGGACACAUCAGAUGAGGGAGACUGGUGACAGUCUCUGCAUUUAAUUGGUCAUCAUGCCCUACCUGGUUAAUGUACAGCCUGAGGAGCUGCUGGCACGGUUCUUUUUGCACAGUCAUCGCUGCCAGUCACUGUUGAAGGAAGGGUUCAAGUUGUAAUGAACGAAGAGUAMAAAAGAAGCUAAAACCCAUCCAUUUUCUUCAGCACUUUGAAAGGAAGUAAAAUCCAUGCCUGCUGCUUUAUAAGCWGCUUUUGUGACUCACUUCUUCYCCUGUCACAAAUUUUCUCUGAAAGGGUAACAAUCUUACCAAAGUGUCAUACUUCCUCCCCAAGAMGUAUUAMCAAUGAGGUUUGUCUUGUGUUACUGCCUGYUUUCUGCAUGGUUUUUGUUACAAUUUUUCUUUGUGAUGCAUAGUGUUCUAAUAUACAGAUUAAUACUUWAAAUARUGUUCUGUUCCUUGGGAGAUGUUAYGGAGUAACUUAAAAGUCAGGUGGUUGGGUACUGAAGGGUAGAUUAGCCUUCCAAAGCUCCAGCUUUUAAUCAGAAUAAACAAUUACUUGGGUUUUUUUCUUUUUUUUCUGCCUAAUUCUGUAUUUGCAACAGGGCRUGUUCUCUAUUUAAUAUUCCACUAAAGUUAUACUAGAGAACUGCAUUGACAAACAUUCCAUUAGAACAUAUUUUUCUCAAUCUAUGCAUUGGAUAAUGUGAGACAUUGAGAAAGACAAUAUAAAACUCAAAACAUUAGGGGAGGAUUAAAUGUAACAUUUGGUUGCAGUAAAUAAAAAAACAAACACCACCAUUAUUCAAGAGUAUUUUAUUUUCUGCCUUAAACAAAUAAAAGCACAUUUCCAAUUUGAGGUAAACCAUUAGUAGUAGUUUGCAAAGAGUAUAAAUGUCUCUAAAAAUAAAAUAGCAACACAAAGGUCAUGACAAGGUCUACAUGUGUCUAGACCCUCCUUAGGUAGUUCAUACAGUACCACUUUACACAAGCUYUCUGGCUCAAACAACCAUACUCUUCAUCAGAAGGCCCAGUGCAACCUAAAGAAAAUGCUAGGACAGUGUUGGGACUGUGGGAGAGUCAGUUGUUCUCACCACAAAUGCUCUCAGGCACUUUAACAUGUUGUGUCAACUUGUUUAUGAAAGCUGCUGUUGUGCAACACCCUCUACUUCCGAACACUUUUGCCUARUUUACACCUUCCCACUCAGGACUCAGUUCAUCAUUUUGAUCGUGUUGCCAAAUUGAAACAACCAGACAGCUGAGCCAGAGAMAUGAAAUAGAAGGAAUUACACCAGACAGGCACCCUGGAUAUUCUGCACUAGCAGAAUCAACUGGACAAGAAACAAGUUUACAAGUGAUCAGCAAAUCCUUAGUUAUCUUGGAAUUUAUAAGWCAGUUUUAUGUAAGUAUUUUGGAUGAUGAACAUUUACAUUUUUCCUUGGUCAUAACCAUUUACCCAGCCCUGUCUGGUAGGAGGCAGGUCACUUAGAAAAAACUUAGUAAUUAAGCACAGAGGUGAGCCAAGAGAGCAAAUAAGUAAAAAGCAACUCAAA